rnacentral:rRNA from 1 species
UACGUAGGGUGCGAGCGUUGUCCGGAAUUAUUGGGCGUAAAGGGCUCGUAGGCGGUUUGUCGCGUCGGGAGUGAAAACUCAGGGCUUAACCCUGAGCCUGCUUCCGAUACGGGCAGACUAGAGGUAUGCAGGGGAGAACGGAAUUCCUGGUGUAGCGGUGAAAUGCGCAGAUAUCAGGAGGAACACCGGUGGCGAAGGCGGUUCUCUGGCUCGACCCUGACGCUGAGGCGCGAAGGCGUGGGGAGCGAACGGG